CAAACCCAUGUUCUUUGAAAACAGAGUAGAGAGAUGUCUGCCUUAACCACGAAGGCAAAAUCCUGAUUUUUGUUCUUGUUGCAGAUGAAAUCGAAGAUUAAGAAACGGACGGCUCCUACGAGAACUCCGGCAGACUUGGUUGUCAAUGGCUUGCUGUUCCACCGGAGUUUUCCAACGUUGAGUGCCUUCACUUCUACAUCGAUCUAGGCAGAAGGUUCGGAUGGGAUGGGUCGAGGUCAUGGUACAACUAAUUGCAAGAUGGGUACACCGAAUUGAAGAAAGUAUCCAUGAACUUAGUUCUACAAGAUUAUUGUCGGCCAUAAAUAAAGAAGCAGCUGAUAAAGGGGAUCUACCAAACUUGCUCAUCAUUUCAAAUGGUCAAUUUCCAAAGAAUGAUUUUGUACUUGAAGAUGGGUUGAUGAGGGUAAAUGGGGGCAAGGCGAUUGUCCCAAAUGUGGUCAAGACUGUUGAAAUUGCUAGGCAGAGGGGCAUCCUCGUUGUUUGGGUCGUUCGUGAGCAUGACCCAUUGGGGAGAGAUGUUGAAUGCUUUCGUCGACACUUGUAUCCUCCCGGAAAAGUGGGUCCAACCUCAAAGGGAAGUGAGGGAGCAAAACUGGUUGAUGGCCUUGAGAUCAAAGAUGGGGAUUAUAAGUUGGUGAAGACACGGUUCAGUGCAUUCUUUGCUACUCAUCUUCAUUCAUUUCUCCAAAGUGCUGGGAUUGAUAGUUUAGUAAUUGUUGGUGUUCAGACUCCAAACUGUAUCCGGCAGACUGUCUUUGAUGCUGUAGCUCUGGACUAUGAAUCUAUUACUGUUCUUGUUGAUGCCACUGCUGCAGCUACACCUGAUAUACACAUCGGCAAACCCAUGGGCACUUAAAUGCGACCCGAACUGUAGUGAAAGCUAGCAUAAAGACUUUUGCCACUAUUAUAAAUUGUAUGGCAGACCUGAACACAUCCUAGAUAUGUCAUCAUCAUCAUCGAGCCUUUAUCCCAAACCCUAUCCUAGAUAUUUCAGUUCAACAAUUCCCGACUGCCUUAGAAACAAACAUAUUUGACAUGAAAAAUGUUGGCGUUGCAACACCAUCAAUAGAGGAAUGGUCUGAGGCUGAUGCCUGAAUCCACCUGUCGGAUCUACCACGCUAUGGCUCACGGUGAGGUUAGACCUUACCGUGAUUCUGGAAUGACUCAAUGGAUCAAAUGUGUAACAUACAUGUGAUAAUGAGCCAAGCAUUGCAGUUUGAUCAAUAUUUUUUGUACUAUGCUUUGUCAGCCCAAUACUAUCUUCAUUUCAGAUAGAGUGAUCUCGCAGUCUGAUAACUAGUAUACUGCUCCGAGAGAUUGAACCGAACAACAAAUUUGUUAUCAUUUUUAUUGCACUUCGUCUGUUCAUGCAUUUCCAUUGAAAAUUUGAAACUGUGCGAUGUAAUCAUGACAUGGCAUUUGUGUUGUAUACUGGCUUGCUUGCAGUU